GGGGAAUUUUCCGCAAUGGGCGAAAGCCUGACGGAGCAAGACCGCGUGAGGGAGGAAGGCUCUUGGGUUGUAAACCUCUUUUCUCAGGGAAGAAGAAAGUGACGGUACCUGAGGAAUCAGCCUCGGCUAACUCCGUGCCAGCAGCCGCGGUAAUACGGAGGAGGCAAGCGUUAUCCGGAAAUAUUGGGUGUAAAGCGUCCGCAGGUGGCACGCCCGUGUUCAUGGGGAAUUUUCCGCAAUGGGAUUAGAUACCCC
rnacentral:rRNA from 1 species